rnacentral:rRNA from 1 species
UAGGGAAUCUUCCGCAAUGGGCGAAAGCCUGACGGAGCAACGCCGCGUGAGUGAUGAAGGUCUUCGGAUCGUAAAACUCUGUUAUUAGGGAAGAACAAAUGUGUAAGUAACUAUGCACGUCUUGACGGUACCUAAUCAGAAAGCCACGGCUAACUACGUGCCAGCAGCCGCGGUAAUACGUAGGUGGCAAGCGUUAUCCGGAAUUAUUGGGCGUAAAGCGCGCGUAGGCGGUUUUUUAAGUCUGAUGUGAAAGACCACGGCUCAACCGUGGAGGGUCAUUGGAAACUGGAAAACUUGAGUGCAGAAGAGGAAAGUGGAAUUCCAUGUGUAGCGGUGAAAUGCGCAGAGAUAUGGAGGAACACCAGUGGCGAAGGCGACUUUCUGGUCUGUAACUGACGCUGAUGUGCGAAAGCGUGGGGAUCAAACAGG